rnacentral:rRNA from 1 species
GAUGAACGCUAGCGGCAGGCUUAAUACAUGCAAGUCGAGGGGCAGCAUGAUUGUAGCAAUACAAUUGAUGGCGACCGGCAAACGGGUGCGGAACACGUACACAACCUCCCAAUAAGUGGGGAAUAGCCCAGAGAAAUUUGGAUUAAUACCCCGUAACAUAACGAUGUGGCAUCACAUUGUUAUUAUAGAUUUUUCGCUUAUUGAUGGGUGUGCGGCUGAUUAGAUAGUUGGCGGGGUAACGGCCCACCAAGUCUACGAUCAGUAGCUGAUGUGAGAGCAUGAUCAGCCACACGGGAACUGAGACACGGGCCCGACUCCUACGGGAGGCAGCAGUAAGGAAUAUUGGACAAUGGACGCAAGUCUGAUCCAGCCAUGCCGCGUGAAGGAUUAAGGUCCUCUGGAUUGUAAACUUCUUUUAUAAGGGACGAAAAAAGGCUUUUCUAAGUCGUCUGACGGUACCUUAUGAAUAAGCACCGACUAAUUCCGUGCCAGCCGCCGCGGUAAUAC